GGAAUAUUGGUCAAUGGGCGGAAGCCUGAACCAGCCAUGCCGCGUGUGGGAAGAAGGCCCUAUGGGUUGUAAACCACUUUUAGCCGGGAGUAAUAAGGGGCGUGCGCGCCCCGAUGAGAGUACCGGCGGAAUAAGCAUCGGCUAACUCCGUGCCAGCAGCCGCGGUAAUACGGAGGAUGCAAGCGUUAUCCGGAUUUAUUGGGUUUAAAGGGUGCGUAGGCGGACCGUUAAGUCAGCGGUGAAAGGUCCCGGCUCAACCGGGGAGCUGCCGUUGAUACUGGCGGACUUGAGUCCAAACGGCGCCGGCGGAAUAUGUAAUGUAGCGGUGAAAUGCAUAGAUAUUACAUAGAACACCGAUCGCGAAGGCAGCUGGCGAGGAUGGCACUGACGCUGAGGCACGAAGGCGUGGGGAUCGAACA
rnacentral:rRNA from 1 species